CCUACGGGUGGCAGCAGUGGGGAAUAUUGGGCAAUGGGCGCAAGCCUGACCCAGCGACGCCGCGUGGGUGAAGAAGCGCCUCGGCGCGUAAAGCCCUGUCAGCAGGGAAGAAAAUGACGGUACCUGAAGAAGAAGCCCCGGCUAACUACGUGCCAGCAGCCGUGGUAAUACGUAGGGGGCAAGCGUUAUCCGGAUUUACUGGGUGGAAAGGGGGCGCAGACGGCGAUGCAAGCCAGGAGUGAAAGCCCGGGGCCCAACCCCGGGACUGCUCUUGGAACUGCGUGGCUGGAGUGCAGGAGGGGCAGGCGGAAUUCCUGGUGUAGCGGUGAAAUGCGUAGAUAUCAGGAGGAACACCGGUGGCGAAGGCGGCCUGCUGGACUGCAACUGACGUUGAGGCCCGAAAGCGUGGGGAGCAAACAGGAUUAGAUACCCCGGUAGUC
rnacentral:rRNA from 1 species